rnacentral:rRNA from 1 species
GACGAACGCUGGCGGCGUGCCUAAUACAUGCAAGUCGGGCGAGCGGAACCAACAGAUUUACUUCGGUAAUGACGUUGGGAAAGCGAGCGGCGGAUGGGUGAGUAACACGUGGGGAACCUGCCCCUAAGUCUGGGAUACCAUUUGGAAACAGGUGCUAAUACCGGAUAAUAAAGCAGAUCGCAUGAUCAGCUUUUGAAAGGCGGCGUAAGCUGUCGCUAAGGGAUGGCCCCGCGGUGCAUUAGCUAGUUGGUAAGGUAACGGCUUACCAAGGCGACGAUGCAUAGCCGAGUUGAGAGACUGAUCGGCCACAUUGGGACUGAGACACGGCCCAA